rnacentral:rRNA from 1 species
UACGUAGGGGGCAAGCGUUGUCCGGAAUUAUUGGGCGUAAAGGGCGCGUAGGCGGCGCCACAAGUCACUUGUGAAAACUCUGGGCUCAACUCAGAGCCUGCAAGCGAAACUGUGGUGCUGGAGUAUGGGAGAGGUGCGUGGAAUUCCCGGUGUAGCGGUGAAAUGCGUAGAUAUCGGAAGGAACACCAGUGGCGAAGGCGGCUUCCUGGACUAAUACUGACGCUGAGGUGCGAAAGCGUGGGGAGCAAACAGG